CCGCUAGUCGUCGAAUGUCCGUCGUCGCGUAUAGAAAAAUUUCGAGAAAAUGGAAGAAAAAUAUUGUGCAAUCGUUAUGAAGAUUAGCAAACGCGUUGUGCUAUGAAUUUGACGAUACAGUCCUGACACCCAAUCGCUCGACACAUUUCACGUAUCUCCGCUAGUCGUUGAUUGUUCGCCGUCGCGUGAAGAUCGACUUGAGGGCAUCGAAGAAAAAUAAUGGACGAUCGUGCGAUCAUAUGCGCGUAUUUUACAAAUCACUGCACACGCGUCAUUAUUUUCGAAAAUAUUUUGAAAGAUAUUCAUCAGAGAAUCGCAACUGCUACAAAUUGAACAAUCGUACACAUUCAUACGCAUCAAAAUGAAUCUCAAAACAUCGUUGUUAUUUGUUUUUGUUAUCAUGAACAUAUUAAUUCAUGAUACAAUAACAGUAACACCUGAACCAGAACCUAAACCAGAUUUUUGUUAUCUGCACUUGGAGCUAGGUUUUUGCGAAUCGUUCGUCAAGACUGUAGUACUAAGAUAUUGGUACAAUUCAGAAACAGGACAUUGCGAAUCGUUCUAUUAUCAAGGUUGUAGAAACAAUUUAAAUAAUUUUGAGUCUUUAGAAGAUUGCCAAGAGAUAUGUGAAUUCUGAAACUUGAAAAGUUCUCUAAUAUCUACAUAAAAUUAUAUUUACACAAUUUACAUAAAAAUACCAAAUUAAAAUCUGUGAAAACACUUGUGCCAAUAUUUUAUUGAACAAUAAUUAACUAUCAUCAAAUUACGCACUCAAAUGUAAAAAAAUAAAAAAAAGUAGUGCAUAAAAUUUACUUUCUAUUUUCCGUGCUAUGUUCUAUACAUAGUAUUACUUAUUAUGAUUUAACAAUAUCUUAACAUUUAACAAUUUCAAUGAAAAAUAACGCAUAUAUUUGAUUUAUGAUUCAAAU